rnacentral:rRNA from 1 species
CCUACGGGGGGCAGCAGUGGGGAAUAUUGGGCAAUGGGCGCAAGCCUGACCCAGCAACGCCGCGUGAAGGAAGAAGGCUUUCGGGUUGUAAACUUCUUUUCUCAGGAACGAAGCAAGUGACGGUACCUGAGGAAUAAGCCACGGCUAACUACGUGCCAGCAGCCCCGGCAAUACGUAGGUGGCAAUCGUUCUCCGGAUUUACUGGGUGUAAAGGGCGUGUAGGCGGGACUGCAAGUCAGAUGUGAAAACCACGGGCUCAACCUGUGGCGUGCAGUUGAAACUGUGGUUCUUGAGUACUGGAGAGGCAGGCGGAAUGCGUGGUGUAGCGGUGAAAUGCGUAGAUAUUAGGAAGAACACCAGUGGCGAAGGCGGUCUGCUGGACAGCAACUGACGCUGAGGCGCGAAAGCGUGGGGAGCAAACAGGAUUAGAUACCCGGGUAGUC